ensembl:snoRNA
AGUGGUUGAUGAUGUAUAUUCUUUCCCCGACUUAUCGACAAUGCUGAUUCAAAUGUUUAACCAAAGCCAACAUUUUCUGAAACCACU